CACUACGGAAUAGCUCUUGGAAACGAGUGGUAAUACCGUAUACGCCCUCCGGGGGAAAGAUUUAUCGGUGAAAGAUCGGCCCGCGUUAGAUUAGCUAGUUGGUAGGGUAAUGGCCUACCAAGGCGACGAUCUAUAGCUGGUCUGAGAGGAUGAUCAGCCACACUGGGACUGAGACACGGCCCAGACUCCUACGGGAGGCAGCAGUGGGGAAUCUUGCACAAUGGGCGAAAGCCUGAUGCAGCCAUGCCGCGUGAAUGAUGAAGGCCUUAGGGUUGUAAAAUUCUUUCGCCAGGGAUGAUAAUGACAGUACCUGGUAAAGAAGCCCCGGCUAACUUCGUGCCAGCAGCCGCGGUAAUACGAAGGGGGCUAGCGUUGUUCGGAAUUACUGGGCGUAAAGCGCACGUAGGCGGACUUUUAAGUCAGAUGUGAAAUCCCGGGGCUCAACCUCGGAACUGCAUUUGAAACUGGAAGUCUAGAGACCAGGAGAGGUUAGCGGAAUA
rnacentral:rRNA from 1 species